rnacentral:rRNA from 1 species
CCCUGCCAUUUGUACACACCGCCCGUCGCUCCUACCGAUUGAGUGGUCCGGUGAAUAAUUCGGACCACGGCAGGAUUCAGCUUCUGGACACUGCUGUGGAAAGUUUAGUGAACCUUACCACUUAGAGGAAGGAGAAGUCGUAACAAGGUU